GAAGCGCCGGGCCCUGGCGUGGAUCCCCUGAAGCGGGCGGCAGAGGGCGGUGGAGGCAGGACUGCAGGCGGCAGAUGUGCUCCUCAUGGACUUUGAUGCUCCAAGUUGGAGUCCUGCGUUUCCCACAAGGGAGGCCUGAGGAAGACCAUGCCCUUCCCUGGAAGAACGUGGGUUGCAGGCUCAGUCUGCUCCAGGCUUUGCUUCCUGCUCUCUCAACAGAAAUUCUCCACAGCUGAGCUUGAUCGCCUCUGCACUGUGAGAAGUUAUUGACCAUUUCUCCCAGGACACACUUCAGCAGGAAACCCUCAGGGAACUUUGAGGAACAAGAUUCAUUACUCACAGGUCCUGGAGGAUGCACGGCACGCCCGAGGCUGCCCGCCGGCAGCUGGCGCCCUCCAUUCCUGACUGCAGUCUGCAUCCUCAUGGUGUUCUGAGUCUGUUGCUGUUACCCCAGGUCCGUGUCUCCACCUGAGAGGUCCUGGCAAUCCCAUGGUGGUUGUAAAGAUGAGGACGAGUGCAGGUCCCAGUGGCAUCACUGCCACAACUCCACUGUCUGCGUCAACAUUGUGGGCUCCGACACAUGCCACAGCUGCCAAGGGUGCGUGCCCAAACCUGAAUUCCUGAAUAAGCAAAUGACCACCGUGUGUGAAGAGAUGUCCUUCCCCACGUGGACUCCGCCCCCUGGAAUGAAGAGCGAGUGUCUCCUGCUUCUUUGAAAAAGUCCAGGAUCUGGGCAGAGACUUCGAGCCAGCCUCGGCCCAGGACACCGUCCAGGUAGGGGCAGGACCCAGAGGAGGCAAGGUCGAGGCACCCCUUCCCCAUAGAGGCCUGGGGAAGCUUUGGUCUGGGAGGAGA